UACGGAGAGGGCUAGCGUUGUUCGGAAUUACUGGGCGUAAAGCGCACGUAGGCGGACCAGAAAGUUGGGGGGUGAAAUCCCGGGGCUCAACCUCGGAACUGCCUUCAAAACUAUUGGUCUGGAGUUCGAGAGAGGUGAGUGGAAUUCCGAGUGUAGAGGUGAAAUUCGUAGAUAUUCGGAGGAACACCAGUGGCGAAGGCGGCUCACUGGCUCGAUACUGACGCUGAGGUGCGAAAGCGUGGGGAGCAAACAGG
rnacentral:rRNA from 1 species